GAUAAGCGACAGGUCGACGGUUCCCCAAUCAGGGGAUUCAAAGGGAACGUGGAGCGCGCGCCCGAAGAGGCACGCGAAGCCACGGCUGCCCCCGCAACUGUAAGCGGCGAGCGACGGGUAACAAAGCCACUGUUCCGAAUCCGAUUCGGGGCGGGAAGGCAGCCCGGAGCCGAGACCCGCGAGCCAGGAGACCUGCCGUCGACCGUCGCCCGUU
rnacentral:ncRNA from 1 species